GAUGAACGCUGGCGGCGUGCUUAACACAUGCAAGUCGAGGGGCAGCAUGAGGGUUAGCAAUAACCCUUGAUGGCGACCGGCGCAAGGGUGCGUAACGCGUGAGCAACUUGCCCGUUUCAGGGGGAUAACCGGUGGAAACGCCGACUAAUACCCCAUGGUGAUGGUUUGAGGCAUCUCUUUCCAUCUAAAGAAUUUCGGAAACGGAUAGGCUCGCGUGACAUUAGCUAGAUGGCGGGGUAACGGCCCACCAUGGCGACGAUGUCUAGGGGUUCUGAGAGGAAGGUCCCCCACACUGGAACUGAGACACGGUCCAGACUCCUACGGGAGGCAGCAGUGAGGAAUAUUGGUCAAUGGUCUGACGACUGAACCAGCCAUGCCGCGUGAAGGUCACGGCCCUAUGGGUCUUAAACUUCUUUGCAAGGGAGCAAUAAGGUCUACGUGUAGAUCGAUAAGAGUACCUUGCGAAUAAGCAUCGGCUAACUCCGUGCCAGCAG
rnacentral:rRNA from 1 species